rnacentral:rRNA from 1 species
UACGGGGGGAGCAAGCGUUGUUCGGAAUUACUGGGCGUAAAGGGCUCGUAGGCGGCCAACUAAGUCAUACGUGAAAUCCCUCGGCUUAACCGGGGAACUGCGUCUGAUACUGGAUGGCUUGAGUUCGGGAGAGGGAUGCGGAAUUCCAGGUGUAGCGGUGAAAUGCGUAGAUAUCGGAAGGAACACCAGUGGCGAAAGCGGCUUCCUGGUCCAGCACCGACGUUCAGGCACGAAAGCGUGGGGAGCAAACAGG